rnacentral:pre_miRNA from 1 species
UUUAAGCGAAUCUAUGAUUUUUUAUGUCUAAUUUUGAUCGUUCGUAAAUUUUUAUGAUUAAUAUUUUUGUUGUUAUUAGAUGAUAAAACAUAAAUAAUAAUUUAUGCGUGACUUAUGUUUUAUUUCUUUUAAAAAAAUCAAAUAAGAUGAACAAUUAAAGUUAGAUAUGAAAACUCAUUGCAACGUUUAAA